rnacentral:rRNA from 1 species
AUUGAACGCUGGCGGCAUGCCUUACACAUGCAAGUCGAACGGUAACGGGCCUUCGGGUGCCGACGAGUGGCGAACGGGUGAGUAAUGUAUCGGAACGUACCUUUCAGUGGGGGAUAACGUAGCGAAAGUUACGCUAAUACCGCAUAUUCUGUGAGCAGGAAAGCAGGGGAUCGCAAGACCUUGCGCUGAUUGAGCGGCCGAUAUCAGAUUAGCUAGUUGGUGAGGUAAAGGCUCACCAAGGCGACGAUCUGUAGCGGGUCUGAGAGGAUGAUCCGCCACACUGGAACUGAGACACGGUCCAGACUCCUACGGGUGGCAGCAGUGGGGAAUUUUGGACAAUGGGGGCAACCCUGAUCCAGCCAUGCCGCGUGAGUGAAGAAGGCCUUCGGGUUGUAAAGCUCUUUCGUUUGGGAAGAAAUCCUAACGGAUAAUACCUGUUGGGGAUGACGGUACCAAAAGAAUAAGCACCGGCUAACUACGUGCCAGCAGCCGCCGUAAGAC